rnacentral:rRNA from 1 species
GUAUGGAAUAUUUAAAUUCUAGUAUGAAAAAUUAAUGAUUUAAGUCCUUCUUAAAUGAGGCCAUUUAUCCAUAGAGGGUGCCAGGCCCGUAUAACAUUAAUGAUUACUAGAAAAUAUUUCCAAAGAGUCGUGUUGCUUGAUAGUGCAGCACUAAGCUGGUGGUAAACUCCAUCUAAAACUAAAUAUAACCAUGAGACCGAUAGCAAACAAGUACCGUGAGGGAAAGUUGAAAAGAACUCUGAAUAGAGAGUUAAAUAGUACGUGAAACUGCUUAGAGAUUAAACCCGAUGAACCUGAAUAUCCAAUAUAGUGAAUUCAUCAUUAUGACAAUAAAUUUUUUUUUUUAUUGUAAUGGUGUGCAUUUUCACUAUAUAAUUGGACAUUGUAAUCUAUUAAUUAAUAAUAUUUAUCAUAAGAUCAUAAGUAAUUGUUUAUUUUAUUUAAUAUUUACUAUUAAUAAAAUAAAUACUAUUGAUUUGAUAAAGUAUUGAUAGAUAAUAUGUAUAGUGUAAAAAUUAUAAAAUUUUAUAAUAUAAUUUAUAUUAUAUAACACUAAUACGAUUUACAAUGCGAAAGAUUCAGGAUACCUUCGGGACCCGUCUUGAAACACGGACCAAGGAGUCUAACAUAUGUGCAAGUUUUUGGGUUAUUAAUAUAAUACCCAAAAGCAUAAUUAACAUAACUAAUUUAUGGGAUUAAUUUUUGUAUAAUUUUAUAUUAUUAAUUCAAUCCCAGGGCGUUCUAUAUAGUUAUGUAUUAAUAGCAUUUAUGUUAUUUUUAUCUCUAACUAGAGCGUACCUUGAGCAUAUAUGCUGUGACCCGAAAGAUGGUGAACUAUACUUGAUCAGGUUGAAGUCAGGGGAAACCCUGAUGGAAGACCGAAACA